UAGGGAAUCUUCGGCAAUGGACGAAAGUCUGACCGAGCAACGCCGCGUGAGUGAAGAAGGUUUUCGGAUCGUAAAACUCUGUUGUUAGAGAAGAACAAGGACGUUAGUAACUGAACGUCCCCUGACGGUAUCUAACCAGAAAGCCACGGCUAACUACGUGCCAGCAGCCGCGGUAAUACGUAGGUGGCAAGCGUUGUCCGGAUUUAUUGGGCGUAAAGCGAGCGCAGGCGGUUUCUUAAGUCUGAUGUGAAAGCCCCCGGCUCAACCGGGGAGGGUCAUUGGAAACUGGGAGACUUGAGUGCAGAAGAGGAGAGUGGAAUUCCCUGUGUAGCGGUGAAAUGCGUAGAUAUAUGGAGGAACACCAGUGGCGAAGGCGGCUCUCUGGUCUGUAACUGACGCUGAGGCUCGAAAGCGUGGGGAGCAAACAGG
rnacentral:rRNA from 1 species